rnacentral:lncRNA from 1 species
GAAAGAUAAAUUAUUAAGAAAAACAUAAGGAGUGGGUUCAGAAAAAGAAGAAAGAGAAAAGGCCCCCAAAAUAAUGAAGAAAUGAAGGAACUAGAGAAAGAAUAUUUGCAAGAAAAAGCAAAUAAAAACAUUAAGAAUAGUUGUAAAAUGCUAAAGAGUGUGAAAAGGAAAAAGACAAGCAACAGCAAAGUGAAUUAUAGGGGAAAAAUGAAAUAGCAAGAAAAAGGUUUAAGGAAUGGUUGGAAAAUACUAAAAAUAAAACUCAUCUCACUCCAAAGAGCUAUGGUUAUGCCAAAGGAAAACAUAGAGGUUUUUACAGAGGAAAUUCCUAUUCAGAACCAGGCUUUUAUAAUUCAAUUCCACGAAAACCAAUACAUAAACCCCUCCUAAAGAAACUAAGGAUCCAUCAGGAAAGAAGAAUGAAAGAUCCAUGACAAAGCAGCCAAAAAGGACAUCAUUUCUGGCAAUUAAUAAAAGCAGAACAAUCUUUACCUUAGAACUCUAUGCAGAAUACAAA